UGUCCUUCCGCUUCAGUAUCUUCCUCACAUCUUUCCUCACUAAGAACUUGAAAAUCUCACGGCUACAAAGCAUCUCUUUAUCCUUCUCCAGACUACUGGGUUCUCUCCAAAUUUACUGAAAUGAAAAUUUAAGCUAACUUAAAAUCUGGAUCAAAUCUAGUUUUCUUUUUCCGCGUCCAAGCUUCUGUUUUCCUGUCUCUCGGAUGCACUGUACUUCCUAGUUGAGCUAGGAAAAUCCUGCUGACAUUUUUAGAUGCAUCUAUAUUUUAUUCUAUGGAAAUGGUUCUGUAUUAUAUGCAUAUUCCUUUCCAGUUCAGUAUCCUGACAUUGUACGGCAGUUUAUAAAGGGUACAGAGGGGUUUUCUGGACCUUUUGCUGAAUGCCUUUGUGGAAGCCCAAACUUAUAUCAGGAAGGUGGAAGGAAACCAUAGAACAGUGUCGACUUUGUAUGUGCACAUGAUGGUUUUACUUUGGCUGAUCUAGUUACCUAUAAUAACAAACACAAUUUAGCAAACAGGGAAGACAACAAUGAUGGAGAAAGUCAUAACAAUAGCUGGAAUUGUGGAGAGGAGGGGAAGUUUGCAAGUAUUUCUGUGAAGAAACUGAGGAAACGCCAAAUGCGGAAUUUCUUUUUCUGCCUUAUGGUUUCCCAGGGUGUUCCAAUGAUUUGCAUGGGUGAUGAAUAUGGUCACACAAAAGGGGGAAACAACAACACAUACUUCCAUGAUAAUUAUGUCAACUACUUUCGGUGGGAUAAAAUGGAAGAGUCUUCAUCAGAUAUUUUCAGAUUCUUCUGUCUCAUGACCAAGUUCCGCCGGUGAGAACCCUUGUUUGAGCGAGUGAGCCCUCAUCAUUCCUUGUCUGCAUUUUGAAAAUUUGAUUUUGCUGAAAUCACGCGGUGAAUGCGAGUCACUUUGCUUAUAUGGCUUCUCAACGUCAGAGAGGUUGCAGUGGCAUGGUCAUACUCCUGGAAAGCCAGACUGGUCUGACACAAGCCGUUUUACUCACUGAUUGAUUCUCCCCGGGAUAUAGAUGGGAGCCGUAGGUGGACACGAGUAAGCCUGCACCAUUCGAUUUCCUAUCCGACGAAGUCCCAGAGAGUGAUAUUGCCAUCAAACAAUAUGCUCAAUUCCUUGAUGCCAAUCUAUACCCUAUGCUCGGUUAUUCUUCAAUUAUUCUGCUAC